rnacentral:rRNA from 1 species
AUACGUAGGGGGCGAGCGUUAUCCGGAUUUAUUGGGCGUAAAGCGCGCGCAGGCGGUCAGGUAAGUCGGAUGUGAAAGGCUACGGCUCAAGCGUAGAGCGGCAUCCGAAACUGUUUGACUUGAGUGCAGGAGAGGAGAGUGGAAUUCCCGGUGUAGCGGUGGAAUGCGUAGAGAUCGGGAGGAACACCAGUGGCGAAGGCGACUCUCUGGACUGUAACUGACGCCGAGGCGCGAAAGCGUGGGGAGCAAACAGGAUUAGAUACCCUGGUAGUCCACGCCGUAAACGAUGAGUGCUAGGUGUUGGGGGGACCCCCCUCAGUGCCGCAGGUAACCCAAUAAGCACUCCGCCUGGGGAGUACGGUCGCAAGACUGAA